UAGGGAAUCUUCCGCAAUGGACGAAAGUCUGACGGAGCAACGCCGCGUGAGCGAUGAAGGCCUUCGGGUCGUAAAGCUCUGUUGUUAGGGAAGAACAAGUACGAGAGUAACUGCUCGUACCUUGACGGUACCUAACCAGAAAGCCCCGGCUAACUACGUGCCAGCAGCCGCGGUAAUACGUAGGGGGCAAGCGUUGUCCGGAAUUAUUGGGCGUAAAGGGCUCGUAGGCGGUUUCUUAAGUCUGAUGUGAAAGCCCACAGCUCAACUGUGGAGGGUCAUUGGAAACUGGGGAACUUGAGUGCAGAAGAGGAGAGUGGAAUUCCACGUGUAGCGGUGAAAUGCGUAGAUAUGUGGAGGAACACCAGUGGCGAAGGCGACUCUCUGGUCUGUAACUGACGCUGAGGAGCGAAAGCGUGGGGAGCAAACAGG
rnacentral:rRNA from 1 species